GCCCAGACUCCUACGGGAGGCAGCCGUCGGGAUUCUUACGCAAUGGGCGCAAGCCUGAUGGAGCAACGCCGCGUGGUGAGGAAGGCUUUCGGGUCGUAAGACUUCUCUUGCCAGGGGAGAAUAAGGGCCCGUUAACUGCUGGUUCGAUGACGGUACCUGAGAAGAAAGCCCCGGCUAACUUACGUGCCAGGCAGCCGCGGUAAUACGUAGGGGGCAAGCGUUGUCCGGAAUUGUUGGGCGUAAAGCGCGCGCGAGGCGGUCUUUUAAGUCUGGUGUCUAAGUGCGGGGCUCAACCCCGUGAUGCACUGGAAACUGGGAGACUUGGGUGCAGAAGAGGAGAGCGGAAUUCCACGUGUAGCGGUGAAAUGUCGUAGAGAUGUGGAGGAACACCAGUGGCGAAGGCGGCUCUCUGGACUGUAACUGACGCUGAGGCGCGAAAGCGUGGGGAGCGAACAGGAUUCGAUACCCUGGUAGUCCACGCCGUAAACGAUGAGUGCUAGGUGUUGGGGGGGUCCACCCCUCGGUGCCGAAGUUAACACAUUAAGCACUCCGCCUGGGGAGUACGGUCGCAAGACUGAAACUGAAAGGAAUUGACGGGGACCCGCACAAGCAGUGGAGUAUGUGGUUUAAUUCGAAGCAACGCGAAGAACCUUACCAGGUCUUGACAUCCCUCUGACCGGUCUAGGAUAGGCCUUUCCUUCGGGACAGAGGAGACAGGUGGUGCAUGGUUGUCGUCAGCUCGUGUCGUGAGAUGUUGGGUUAAGUCCCGCAACGAGCGCAACCCUUGGAUUUAGUUGCCAGCACUACGGGUGGGCACUCUAGAUCGACUGCCGGUGACAAACCGGAGGAAGGCGGGGAUGACGUCAAAUCAUCAUGCCCCUUAUGACCUGGGCUACACACGUACUACAAUGGCCGGUACAACGGGCAGCGAAGUCGCGAGACGGAGCCAAUCCUACCAAAGCCGGUCUCAGUUCGGAUUGCAGGCUGCAACUCGCCUGCAUGAAGUCGGAAUUGCUAGUAAUCGCGGAUCAGCAUGCCGCGGUGAAUACGUUCCCGGGUCUUGUACACACCGCCCGUCACACCACGAGAGUUUACAACACCCGAAGCCGGUGGGGUAACCCGCAAGGGAGCCAGCCGUCGAAGGUGGGGUAGAUGAUUGGGGUGAAGUCGUAACAAGGUAGCCGUAUCGGAAGGUGCGGCUGGAUCACCUCCUUU
rnacentral:rRNA from 1 species